GAGGUUUACGGUCCGGCCGACAGCUUGAUAAAGGAAUGACCAAAACACAGCUAAAGAAAGAUCAGAUCAGAUCAUGAUUAUUAGUUGUGUGAAUUAAUUAGUGAUCAGUAAUUAAUAAAUCAAAUUAUAGUAAUUGUGUUACCAGAUCGAUGGAGGGAAUAGAGGCCAAGACUGUGAGGUGGAAGGUUAUCCCGAAGAAAUUCGAGAUAAAGAGGAGAGCAUUCGUUUGCGCUUGCGCCUGGGGAUUGUUGAUUCAACUGAUGGAAUCGCGAAUUAUGAAUCUGAAUGAGUCACUGAAUUCUCUAUUUAGGGCUCGACACCCAUUGCAAUUGCUUAUUUUCUCUCUCUAAAAUUAUAUGUUUC
rnacentral:lncRNA from 1 species